ACAGAGACAAUCAUACCGAUAGGGACAGGGAAAAGGAGAGAGGUAAUUUAAAUUACCUCAGCCAAACCGAGGCAUUUGUUUUCUUUGCUCAGGUGACUAGGAACCCGAAUACAUUAAGGGUCAGGGACAAGGAGAGAGGUAAUUUAAAUUACCUCAGCCAAACCGAGGCAUUUGUUUUCUUUGCAUAGGUGACGAGAAACCCGUAUGCAUUCAAGGGACAGGGACAAUCAUACCGAUAUAGACAGGGACAAGCUGAGAGGUAAUUUAAAUCACCUCAGCUAAACCGAGGCAUUUGUUUCUUUGCUCAGGCGACUAGGAACCUGAUACACUCAAAGGGACAGGGACAAUCAUACCGAUAGGGACAGGGAAAAGCUGAGAGGUAAUUUAAAUUACCUCAGCUAAACCGAGACAUUUGUUUCUUUGCUCAGGCGACUAGGAACCUGAUACAUUCAAGGGACGUGGACAAGCAGAGAGGUAAUUUAAAUUACCUCAAAUAAACCGAGGCAUUUGUUUCUUUGCUCAGGUGACUAGAAACCCGAAUACAUUCAAGGGACAGGAACAAUUAAACCGAUAGGGACAGGGCCAAGCAGAGAGGUAAUUUAAAUUACCUCAGCCAAACCGAGGCGUUUGUUUUCUUUGCUCAGGUGACGAGAAACCCAUAGGGACAUGGACAAGCUGAGAGGUAAUUUAAAUUACUUCAGCUAAACCGAGGCAUUUGUUUCUUUGCUCAGGCGACUAGGAACUUGAUUGACAGGGACAAGAAGAGAGGUAAUUUAAAUUACCUCAAAUAAACCGAGGCAUUUGUUUCUUUUCUCAGGUGACUAGAAACCUGAAUACAUUCAAGGGACAGGAUCAAUUAAACCAUAGGGAUAGGGACAAGCAGAGAGGUAAUUUAAAUUACCUCAGCCAAACCGAGGCAGGCAUUUGUUUUCUUUGCUCAGGUUACGAGAAACCCGUAUGCAUUCAAGGGACAAGGACAAUCAUACCGAAAGGGACAUGGACAAGCUGAGAGGUAAUUUAAAUUACCUCAGCUAAACCGAGGCAUUUGUUGUUUUGCUCAGGCGACUAGGAACCUGAUACAUUUAAGGGACAGGGACAAGCAGAGAGGUAAUUUAAAUUACCUCAAAUAAACCGAGGCAUCUGUUUCUUUGCUCAGGUGACUAGAAACCCGAAUACAUUCAAGGGACAGGGACAAUUAAACCGAUAGGGACAAGGACAAGCAGAGAGGUAAUUUAAAUUACCUCAGCUAAACCGAGGCAUUUGUUUCUUUGCUUAGGCGACUAGGAACCUGAUACAUUCAAGGAACAGGGACAAGCAGAGAGGUAAUUUAAAUUACCUCAAAUAAACCGAGGCAUUUGUUUCUUUUCUCAGGUGACUAGAAACCCGAAUACAUUCAAGGGACAUGAUCAAUUAAACCAUAGGGACAGGGACAAGCAGAGAGGUAAUUUAAAUUACCUCAGCCAAAUCGAGGCAUUUUUUUUCUUUGCUCAGGUUAAGAGAAACCCGUAUACAUUCAAGGGACAGGAACAAUCAUACCGAAAGGGACAUGGACAAGCUGAGAGAGGUAAUUUAAAUUACCUCAAAUAAACCGAGGCAUCUGUUUCUUUGCUCAGGUGACUAGAAACCCAAAUACAUUCAAGAGAUAGGGACAAGCAGAGAGGUAAUUUGUUUUCUUUGCCAAACCGAGGCAUUUGUUUUCUUUGCUUAGGUGACGAGAAACCCGUAUGCAUUCAAGGGACAGGUACAAUCAUACCGAAAGGGACAGGGACAAGCUGAGAGGUAAUUUAAAUUACCUCAAGCUAAACCGAGGCAUUAGUUUCUUUGCUCAGGCGACUAGGAACUUGAUACAUUCAAGGGACAGGGACAAGCAAAAGAGGUAAUUUAAAUUACCUCAAAUAAACCGAGGCAUUUGUUUCUUUGCUCAGGUGACUAGAAACCCAAAUACAUUCAAGGGACAGGGACAAUUAAACCGAUAGGGACAGGGACAAGCUGAGAGGUAAUUUAAAUUACCUCAGCUAAACCGAGGUAUUUGUUUCUUUGCUUAGGCAACUAGGAACCUGAUACAUUCAAGGGACAGGGACAAGCAGAGAGGUAAUUUAAAUUACCCCAAAUAAACCGAGUCAUUUGUUUCUUUGCUCAGGUGACUAGAAAACCGAAUACAUUCAAGGGACAGGGACAAUUAAACCGAUAGGGACAUGGGCAAGCAGAGAGGUAAUUUAAACCGAGGCAUUUGUUUAAUAAACCGAGGCAUUUGUUUCUUUGCUCAGGUGACGAGAAACCCGUAUGCAUUCAAAGGGACAGGGACAAUCAUACCGAUAGGGACAGGGACAAGCUGAGAGGUAAUUUAAAUUACCUUAGUUGAACCAAGGCAUUUGUUUCUUUGCUCAGGUGACUAGGAACCUAGAUGCAUUCAAGGGACAGGGACAGUAGGGACAAGGAUAAUUAAACAGAUAGGGACAGGGACAAGCUGAGAGGUAAUUUAGAUUAUCUCAGCCAAACCGAGGCAUUUGUUUCUUUGCACAGGUGACUAGGAACCCAUAUGCAUUCUAGGGACAGGGUCAAGAAAAGAGGUAAUUUAUAUUACCUCAGCCAAACCGAGGCAUUUGUAUUUUCAGGUGACUAGGAACCCCCAUGCAUUCAAGGAAUGAGAAGUAGAGAGGUAAUUUAAAUUACCUUAGCCAAACCGAGGCAUAUGUAGUUUUUGCUCAGGUGACUAAGGACAAGGAUAAGCAGAGAGGUAAUUUAGAUUACCUCGAUAGAAACAAGACAAAGAGUAUAGGAUACCAAUACAUAACAACUGUAGUUAUGACUAGCUAGCUCAUCAUAUGAGUGAACGUGAGACUAGUUAAUUGGCAGCAAGCAAUCAAAAACGUAUGAUACACAAGAUAAAACCAAACUUAUAAGGAACACAGACACACACAAAACUAUAGGCAGAGUAAACGAUUUUGAAAACCAAUAA